GCAUAUAUUUGUGGACAUGGAUGGUGAAUGGAGUAGACACAGCAGGGGGCUUAACACAUCCUGCAGGAAAGACCGUUGAACAUAAACCUCUGUCUAUGGAGUAAUAUCCAUGCCGAAAUAAGCAGAAACCACACAAGUGGAGCAAUGUCCAUAUGCCGCUGUCUCAAUUUUUCCCGAGCAACAGCUGCAGGUCUCAGUGAAGCCUGAGUGCCUAGGAAGAAAGAUGGGAAAUAUACUCCUGGGUUAUCAGGGCUGAGCAGAUAGUUGGAUUCAGCACUACUGAAUUUUCACAGAACUCAACAUAGUUUCUAUAUGAUGAUAGUGUCUGAUGAUAAAUUAUUAUGUGGGACCACACAGGAUGAGAACUGUGGGAUUCCAUGAAGGAUAGCUCAUCUUUUAUUUUAAAAGCAACUAUGUCUUAAUAGGAGAAUGGACUGAAGCAUUGGGAGACAUAGCACUCUUCCUUUCCAUAUUUUUCCCCCAGACCAAUCUCUAUACUAUUAUUAAAACAUAUCAGUGCUUGA